rnacentral:rRNA from 1 species
AUUGAACGCUGGCGGCAGGCCUAACACAUGCAAGUCGAACGAGCGGCGGACGGGUGAGUAAUGUCUGGGAAACUGCCUGAUGGAGGGGGAUAACUAAUGGAAACGGUAGCUAAUACCGCAUACCAUCAGAUGUGCCCAGAUGGGAUUCGCUAGUAGGUGGGGUAAAGGCGCACCAAGGCGACGAUCCCUAGCUGGUCUGAGAGGAUGCCCAGCCACACUGGAACUGAGACACGGUCCAGACUCCUACGGGAGGCAGCAGUGGGGAAUAGUGCACAAUGGGCGCAAGCCUGAUGCAGCCAUGCCGCGUGUAUGAAGAAGGCCUGCGGGUUGUAAAGUACUUUCAGCGGGGAGGCGUUACCCGCAGAAGAAGCACCGGCUAACUCCGUGCCAGCAGCCGCGGUAAUUC